AGUGAACGCUGGCGGUAGGCCUAACACAUGCAAGUCGAACGGCAGCACAGUAAGAGCUUGCUCUUACGGGUGGCGAGUGGCGGACGGGUGAGGAAUACAUCGGAAUCUACUUUUUCGUGGGGGAUAACGUAGGGAAACUUACGCUAAUACCGCAUACUACCUACGGGUGAAAGCAGGGGAGCUUCGGACCUUGCGCGAUUGAAUGAGCCGAUGUCGGAUUAGCUAGUUGGCAGGGUAAAGGCCCACCAAGGCGACGUUCCGUAGCUGGUCUGAGAGGAUGGUCACCCACACUGGAACUGGGACACGGUACAGCUUCCUACGGGAGGCAGCAGUGGGAAAUAUUGGACAAUGGGCGCAAGCCUGAUCCAGCCAUGCCGCGUGGGUGAAGAAGGCCUUCGGGUUGUAAAGCCCUUUUGUUGGGAAAGAAAAGCAGCAGGUGAAUACCCCGCUGUUCUGACGGUACCCAAAGAAUAAGCACCGGCUAACUUCGU
rnacentral:rRNA from 1 species